CCUUAAAUUCAGGGUCCAGCUCACAUGGGAAAUACUUUCUGAGAGUCCUGGACCUCCUGUGCAAGAACAUGAAACAUCUGUGGUUCUUCCUUCUCCUGGUGGCAGCUCCCAGAUGGGUCCUGUCCCAGCUGCAGCUGCAGGAGUCGGGCCCAGGACUGGUGAAGCCUUCACAGACCCUGUCCCUCACCUGCACUGUCUCUGGUGGCUCCAUCAGCAGUGGUAGUUACUACUGGAGCUGGAUCCGGCAGCCCGCCGGGAAGGGACUGGAGUGGAUUGGGUAUAUCUAUUAUAGUGGGAGCACCUACUACAACCCAUCCCUCAAGAGUCGAGUCACCAUAUCAGUAGACACGUCCAAGAACCAGUUCUCCCUGAAGCUGAGCUCUGUGACCGCCGCAGACACGGCCGUGUAUUACUGUGCGAGAGACACAGUGAGGGGAGGUGCAGGCAGAGAAGAGGCCAUGUGGAGACAUAGUGCACUAGAAGGUGGCCCAGUGCAAGCCAGGAAGAAGCCGCGCCAAGAACCAGCCCUGCCAGCACACUAAUCUUCAACAUUCAGACUGCAGAAUUUUAAGAAAAUCAGUAUUUGUUGUUUAAGCAACCCACUCCUGUUGUCUUCUUAUGAAGAUCCAGACAGACUACUACCACGUAACUCUGUUAGCGCUGUCCCCUGGAUGGAGAAUCAGCCUCCUGAGGCUAGGCACAUCUCUCAGAUUUCCACAUAAAACAGUGCACUGUUGGCCUGGUGGAGCCCUCGCAGACCCUCUCCCUCACCUGUGCUGUCUCUGGAUUUUCCAUCACAACCAGUGCUUCCUGCUGGAGCUGGAUCCACGAGUCCACAUGGGAAGGACUGGAGUGGAUCAGGCGCACACGUCAUGAAGGGAGUAAGAAUUCCCACCCACUCCUUAUGAAUCCAGUCACCAUCUCCAAAUUCGGGUCCAAAAAACACUUGUUUUUACAGUGGAGCUAUGUGAGCAACAAGCUCACAGCCAUGUUUUAAAGAAGAGACAGAGUGAGGGGACCACGGUGCGAGCUCACACCCAAACCUUCCUGGAGGGGUGCACAGAACAGCAGGAGUGCCGAUGAUGGAAGGGGGUGGUCUGGAUUCCAGGGCACACGCAAAACCAUUGUAGAGGCACUCAGGUCAGCCAAGGGCUCUCAGGAAACAUCGAGGAAAAUCAGGACACCAGAAGAGACUCGGUACAGCAGGGGGCUCAGGACCAUUGUGGGGACUCAGAAACAGCAGGUUCUGGGCUCAGCCUCAGGGCAGGUGCAGAUGGGGUGAAAAGGGGCUGGAUGAGGGGUUUUGUGUCACCAUCAUAUUUCACCACUAGACACCCUCCACUACAUGUGUUCUACUGCAUAUGAGUGUAUGAUUAGAAAAUCAUACUUCUAUAAAUAUAUAACCAUACGUAGGUGUGUCAAGUUUUCCUCUUCAACUUGUAUCGGCCUUGUCAGUAAGGACUAAUUCCCUGUAAUUACUUGAGGAUCUCAUAAAUUGUGGUCAGUUUUGUAGGUUUCCUCUCUUUCCUUGUCUCCCUUUCCCCCUUAUUCUCUCUCACACAAAUGGACAUAACCCCCACUCCACACGCAAAGAAAUCUAUAACUUUCAUUACCUGAGGUAUUGAAUAAAAUUGAUUAA